CCUACGGGGAGCAGCAGUGAGGAAUAUUGGUCAAUGGGCGCGAGCCUGAACCAGCCAAGUAGUGUGAAGGAUGACUGCCCUACGGGUUGUAAACUUCUUUUAUAAAGGAAUAAAGUGAGGCACGUGUGCCUUCUUGUAUGUACCAUAUGAAUAAGGAUCGGCUAACUCCGUGCCAGCAGCCGCGGUAAUACGGAGGAACCGAGCGUUAUCCGGAUUUAUUGGGUUUAAAGGGAGCGUAGGUGGAUUGUUAAGUCAGUUGUGAAAGUUUGCGGCUCAACCGUAAAAUUGCAGUUGAAACUGGCAGUCUUGAGUACAGUAGAGGUGGGCGGAAUUCGUGGUGUAGCGGUGAAAUGCUUAGAUAUCACGAAGAACUCCGAUUGCGAAGGCAGCUCACUGGACUGCAACUGACACUGAGGCUCGAAAGUGUGGGUAUCAAACAGGAUUAGAUACCCCUGUAGUC
rnacentral:rRNA from 1 species